GGAGUGUCUGUGGCUCAGUGGCAGAGAACCUGCUUAGCAUGCAGAAGAUCCCAGGUUCAGUUCCCAGCAUCUCCA
rnacentral:tRNA from 1 species